GAAUCCCGUCUUUGACACGGACUACCAGUGCUUUGUGAUACGCUCUCAAAGAGUCGAGUUGUUUGGGAAUGCAGCUCAAAAUGGGUGGUAAAUUCCAUCUAAAGCUAAAUAUUGGCGAGAGACCGAUAGCGAACAAGUACCGUGAGGGAAAGAUGAAAAGCACUUUGGAAAGAGAGUUAAACAGUACGUGAAAUUGCUGAAAGGGAAGCGCUUGAAGUCAGUCGCGUUGUUCAGAACUCAACCUGGUUUUACUUGGUGCACUUUCUGAAUGACGGGCCAACAUCAGUUUUGACUGUCGGAUAAAAGCCUUUGGAAUGUGGCACCUCCGGGUGUGUUAUAGCCUUUGGUUGUAUACGAUGGUUGGGAUUGAGGAUCGCAGCACGCCUUUUGGCCGGGGUUCACCCACGUACGUGCUUAGGAUGUUGGCGUAAUGGCUUUAAACGACCCGUCUUGAAACACGGACCAAGGAGUCUAACAUGCCUGCGAGUGUUUGGGUGGAAAACCCGAGCGCGCAAUGAAAGUGAAAGUUGGGAUCCCUGUCGUGGGGAGCACCGACGCCCAUACCAGACCUUCUGUGACGGAUAUGCGGUUGAGCAUGUAUGUUGGGACCCGAAAGAUGGUGAACUAUGCCUGAAUAGGGUGAAGCCAGAGGAAACUCUGGUGGAAGCUCGUAGCGAUUCUGACGUGCAAAUCGAUCGUCAAAUUUGGGUAUAGGGGCGAAAGACUAAUCGAACCAUCUAGUAGCUGGUUCCUGCC
rnacentral:rRNA from 1 species